GAUGUGGAUGAGUUUCGCGAAAAGUGUGAUCAGUAUAAUGUCACCGUGCAAAACGUAAAUAUCUCGGCCUCUAUGCAUAUCCAGAUGGGAAUUGGGAAAUCAAAUUGUCUUCUGAUGUGGCUGAAGAACUUCCAUAUUCAAGAAUAUAUAAACUUCCUAAACAAUUAACGGAUAAAAAUGCAUGGUUGGCCCAAGUUGCUGCCGAUAGUGACACAUGGCUAUUCUCUGUUACCUUUUAUCUUUGUUCCAUUUAUAGUUGGAUGGCUCUUUGGAGCCAACAUAUUAAGGAGCAGUCAAGAUUAUGCAACUACCACAACUGAGAGCAUUUGAAGAUUUGUCCAACACAAAAUUGAAGGAGAACAAAGCGUCAUUCAAUUCAAGGAUGCUAUUCAUUUGAUUACAUUGACAUCGGAGAUCGGUUUGCUUUCUCUAAUGGGAACGUUUGUUUGACAAGAUGAAUGCGCUGCCAACAGUGUCUGAAUUGGUUAAAGAUAAUCACAAAAAUCUAGAAGUUGCUACUGAAAAUGCCAAGAAGCGUGUAAAGGAUAAAUCAACAGUUUCAUAUCACAGCAGCAAGAAUUCAAAGUCGAACUCUGAAGUGGUACAGUUGAAACCUCUCUUUUCCCCAUAUUUCUUCCAUUUUUUAAAACGAUGUCUUUUCUUGGAUAACAGUAGGUGUGUAGUACUCUUUAAAGGGUUCCCUUGGACAGUGUUUAAUUGGAAUCCAACCUUCAGCUCUAGGGCAUGGUCAAUGGAUCUUCUCUGAUGUGAGCCAUGUUUCAGCUUUCAAUCAUAUCCACACCCAUUAUAAAUGUGUAUGAUGACUCUCAAGAGCAAGCAUAUAUAGUUAUGUUUCAUGACUAGCUUGCUGUGUGAUAUCAAUUCAAUAACAAUGGGAGGGAGAAAGCAUGAAAGUGAAGCAUUUUGUAUAAUCUUUUUCCUGCAGGAGAAAGCUAAUCUUUCUGUCCUGUUAUAUGGUAUAUAGGAGUUAAAGGGCCCUCUUAAAUUGAUGCGUUGUUGAUUUUUCAUUUUCUUGUAUAAUAAUUGUUUACCUUUGGUAUUCCUAGUAACAGAAAUGGGUUGGGUCUAUACAUUUCUGGGCAGGUCAGGUAGUGGUUGCCGGCUUCUAGUUUGAGGAAGGUUUAUUAGUUAGUUAAAGUGAUUUGAACUAAAGUCAAUGCUGCUGUUUUCCCAAGGAGUUAUCGUGUAAGAUAAAGUAUGAGACUCCCAUGAAAUCUUAGUGUUGUCUUAUUAUUAGUUCUUUAUUUCUCUCAUGUAAUUUCAUCAAAUGUUUUAUGUCCACCUCUCUACUUCACCUGAGAUAGUGGUACGGUCUGCGUACACUCUACGCUACCCGGACCCCACCAUGUGGGAAUACACUGGGUAUGUUGUUGUUGUUUUAUGUCCACCUCACCUCCUGCAACAGUUUGAUAACUGACCUGUAUAGUAGGGGUUUUCUGUAUAAAAUCAUUUAUGGAUUGUGUUGCUGCUAUUGUGCAAUAUUUUACACUUAUAA